rnacentral:rRNA from 1 species
UGACGGUACCACUUGAAUAAGCUCCGGCUAACUACGUGCCAGCAGCCGCGGUAAUACGUAGGGAGCAAGCGUUAUCCGGAUUUACUGGGUGUAAAGGGCGUGUAGGCGGGACUGCAAGUCAGAUGUGAAAGCACGAGGCUCAACUUCGUGUCUGCAUUUGAAACUGACGUUCUUGAGUGUUGGAGAGGCUAACGGAACUCCUAGUGUAGCGGUGAAAUGCGUAGAUAUUAGGAAGAACACCAGUGGCGAAGGCGGUUAGCUGGACAAUAACUGACGCUGAGGCGCGAAAGCGUGGGUAGCAAACAGGAUUAGAUACCCUG